AACGAACGCUGGCGGCAUGCCUAACACAUGCAAGUCGAACGAGACCUUCGGGUCUAGUGGCGCACGGGUGCGUCACGCGUGGGAACCUGCCCUUAGGUUCGGAAUACCUCCCCGAAAGGGGUGCUAAUACCGGAUAAUGUCUUCGGACCAAAGAUUUAUCGCCUUUGGAUGGGCCCGCGUUGGAUUAGCUAGUUGGUAGGGUAAAAGCCUACCAAGGCGACGAUCCAUAGCUGGUCUGAGAGGAUGAUCAGCCACACUGGGACUGAGACACGGCCCAGACUCCUACGGGAGGCAGCAGUGGGGAAUAUUGGACAAUGGGCGAAAGCCUGAUCCAGCAAUGCCGCGUGAGUGAUGAAGGCCUUAGGGUUGUAAAGCUCUUUUACCCGGGAUGAUAAUGACAGUACCGGGAGAAUAAGCUCCGGCUAACUCCGUG
rnacentral:rRNA from 1 species